AUCGCUUCUCGGCUGUCUGAGCUAAGACCAUGUGUAGUAUCUGUUCUUUGCAGUUAAUUUCUGCAACGGUCCCUAAUUUGGGACCAAUGAAAUUACCUGUAUUUUUCCAACCGAGGACGGAUGCUGUGAGCUUGCUCAACCCCGUUUACGGGUCGGCCUCGUAUUGCAUUACCUCGGGGAUUGGCCCACUAAUG
rnacentral:snRNA from 1 species